rnacentral:tRNA from 1 species
UUUUAGUUAUUUCCCGUUUUGGGUGUUGGUGGUGGAGUUAGAUACUUCUUUCU